rnacentral:rRNA from 1 species
UACGUAGGGUGCAAGCGUUAUCCAGAAUUAUUGGGCGUAAAGAGCUCGUAGGCGGUUUGUCGCGUCUGCUGUGAAAACCCGAGGCUCAACCUCGGGCCUGCAGUGGGUACGGGCAGACUAGAGUGCGGUAGGGGAGAUUGGAAUUCCUGGUGUAGCGGUGGAAUGCGCAGAUAUCAGGAGGAACACCGAUGGCGAAGGCAGAUCUCUGGGCCGUAACUGACGCUGAGGAGCGAAAGCGUGGGGAGCGAACAGG